CUGUCAUUCUUGGUUAGCUGGGUGGUAAGAGUCAAUAAUUACACUGAGCGACAAUUAAAAGGAUGGAAUUAACCGAAAAUGAGAACGCCUUUAUUGGCACAAAUCGUAGUAGAUCAAAUGGGACCUCACGAAGAGAAGAGUGAAAAUCAAAUCGAUUUGUUAAAAAAUGAUGCUUUUUGGGAGUGUGUGGAAGUUGAAUUUAAUCAGCAGUCAUCAGGGCAGGCACGAAGUGGCAAAGUGUUGAAACAGAGAUGGGAUCACGUCUACUCAGAUCUAGAUCAUCACCAUUCUUCUACUUCAACCAAUGAAUCCAACCCCCUGCAUUCAAGUGUGUAUUUUUAUUAUUAUUUUUUUCAAGUCAGGAAUAUCUAAAAAUAUUCUUUAAGACUUUUAAUACAUGCAAACCAUGGUUCUUCUGUAAUGACUGAUCGCGGAUAUAAUCAAUUGAAGGUAUAUAACUGGGAUGGUACGCUCAGGCCAACUUCUCCCACAUUACUUGCUUCUCAGCCCACGACCCCAAAGAGCAACAGUUCAACAAGGAAUGAACUCCCACCCAGCAUCUGAUCAAAAGAAAUAUCACAAAAUCAAACAUUAACAAACUGAAAGAAAGGAUUCUAAAAUGUCGUUUGAAGAGAGAAGAAAACGAAAUAAAAAUAUCGAAUCUGAGACUAAAAAUCCAGCAGCACAAACUCGAGCAACUCGAACAAAAAGAAAAUCUUUUUCGAUAGAUUAAAAAUAAUGAUACUUAUGAUAUGGAAAAGAAAAAGAUGGAUCUCGAUGGAUAAGGAAAAGAAAUUAAGAAAACAAGACAUUCUCAGAUAAACAGAGCAACUUUCAGUACGUGUUGAAUGAGAGAAUAAUAUAAAAU